rnacentral:lncRNA from 1 species
UGCAAAGAAGCCCACAUGCAAACUCAAGGCAAGAGAGGGAGAAAACACAUGCAAAGAAGCCCACAUGCAAAGUAAAAGGGACAUACACGGCAAAGGGGAAGGAAAUGGUGUGUUUUGUGGUUGAAAUGAUGAAGCAAGUGUGUGCAAAUGCAAAGGGGAUCUAAACAUGGACAGCACAUGUCAUGUGCAAAGGAGAAACAAAGAUGACAACACACACAUGCAAAGAAGAAAACAGCAAGAAAGGCAUGUGCAAAAGAGAAACAUGGACAACCAACAAAUUCGUCAAAACUGCCUGUGCAGAUUAGCUGACUUUGGAAGCAUGUUACGAACAGCUCCAAAUGAAUGAGAGAAUGAGCCUUAUAUGCUUGGAAAGCUACGGAUGUCUAUUUUCUGGAGCAAUUUACAGAUUGUUAAUAUCAUUUUUCUAGAAGAAGUUAUGGGCAUUUUAACACUGAAAGGUUUAGAAACGGGCUAAGCAGAUUUGGCUAAUAAAAGGCACUUGUUUUGUGUUUUGCUUUGUCAUCAACACUCAGCAGCAAAUGGGGUUAUGAUUACACUCAUUUGUCUUUGGAGCAAGUGGAAAUGCACAGCUAGAAGAGAAGGCACAACACAUGCAAAGGAAAGGAGAAACAUGGGCAGAAAAUGUGUGUGUGUUGUGGUUGAAAUGAUGAAGCAUGUGUGUGUAAAUGUAAAGAGGAAACAUGCCAACACACACCCACACAAGCUCACAUGCAAAGGAAAUGGAGUGGUCCUAUCUCAAGCCUAUAAAUACCACCUUCCAUAUUCAUCAAAGUCAUAACAGAUUUUCUCUCCAAAUUUAGCCAAAAACCACCCCUAGCCACACCACCCAUCAAUCCUAAACCUUUCCAUACCAUUCCCCAUCCAUUCUACACCAUAAAAACCACCCAAAACAGUCCAAAACCUCUAGUGCCGCAGCUUGCAAGUAAGGAAGGAGAAGGAACAUCU